ACUCUAAGCGGUGGAUCACUCGGCUCAUGGGUCGAUGAAGAACGCAGCAAACUGUGCGUCAUCGUGUGAACUGCAGGACACAUGAACAUCGACAUUUUGAACGCAUAUCGCAGUCCAUGCUGUUAUGUACUUUAAUUAAUUUUAUAGUGCUGCUUGGACUACAUAUGGUUGAGGGUUGUAAGACUAUGCUAAUUAAGUUGCUUAUAAAUUUUUAUAAGCAUAUGGUAUAUUAUUGGAUAAAUAUAAUAAUUUUUAUUCAUAAUAUUAAAAAAUAAAUGAAAAACAUUAUCUCACAUUUGAAUGUGAAAAACGAAGAGAAAUAUUUUCUUUUUCAAUCAAAUAAUACUGAGAAAUGUCUAGCAUAAAAAAUUGAAAUAUUUUUCAUCUAGAAUUGUCUCUUAUUAAUGAUUCGGAAAUAGAAAAAUCUUGGUUAUGUUAUUAUUCUUCGUUGGUUCGUUAAAAAUGGAUAAAUAAAAACUUUGCAUACAAGAAUUAAUAAAAAUGUUAUAACGAAUUUAAUUAAAUGUUUUAUCAUUAUAUAUAAAGAAUUUAUGGCAAGAUAAAGUUAUAUACAACCUCAACUCAUAUGGGACUACCCCCUGAAUUUAAGCAUAUUAAUUAGGGGAGGAAAAGAAACUAACAAGGAUUUUCUUAGUAGCGGCGAGCGAAAAGAAAACAGUUCAGCACUAAGUCACUUUGUCUAUAUGGCAAAUGUGAGAUGCAGUGUAUGGAGCGUCAAUAUUCUAGUAUGAGAAAUUAACGAUUUAAGUCCUUCUUAAAUGAGGCCAUUUACCCAUAGAGGGUGCCAGGCCCGUAUAACGUUAAUGAUUACUAGAUGAUGUUUCCAAAGAGUCGUGUUGCUUGAUAGUGCAGCACUAAGUGGGUGGUAAACUCCAUCUAAAACUAAAUAUAACCAUGAGACCGAUAGUAAACAAGUACCGUGAGGGAAAGUUGAAAAGAACUCUGAAUAGAGAGUUAAACAGUACGUGAAACUGCUUAGAGGUUAAGCCCGAUGAACCUGAAUAUCCGUUAUGGAAAAUUCAUCAUUAAAAUUGUAAUAUUUAAAUAAUAUUAUGAGAAUAGUGUGCAUUUUUUCCAUAUAAGGACAUUGUAAUCUAUUAGCAUAUACCAAAUUUAUCAUAAAAUAUAACUUAUAGUUUAUUCCAAUUAAAUUGCUUGCAUUUUAACACAGAAUAAAUGUUAUUAAUUUGAUAAAGUGCUGAUAGAUUUAUAUGAUUACAGUGCGUUAAUUUUUCGGAAUUAUAUAAUGGCAUAAUUAUCAUUGAUUUUUGUGUUUAUUAUAUGCACUUGUAUGAUUAACAAUGCGAAAGAUUCAGGAUACCUUCGGGACCCGUCUUGAAACACGGACCAAGGAGUCUAACAUAUGUGCAAGUUAUUGGGAUAUAAACCUAAUAGCGUAAUUAACUUGACUAAUAAUGGGAUUAGUUUUUUAGCUAUUUAUAGCUAAUUAACACAAUCCCGGGGCGUUCUAUAUAGUUAUGUAUAAUGUAUAUUUAUAUUAUUUAUGCCUCUAACUGGAACGUACCUUGAGCAUAUAUGCUGUGACCCGAAAGAUGGUGAACUAUACUUGAUCAGGUUGAAGUCAGGGGAAACCCUGAUGGAAGACCGAAACAGUUCUGACGUGCAAAUCGAUUGUCAGAAUUGAGUAUAGGGGCGAAAGACCAAUCGAACCAUCUAGUAGCUGGUUCCUUCCGAAGUUUCCCUCAGGAUAGCUGGUGCAUUUUAAUAUUAUAUAAAAUAAUCUUAUCUGGUAAAGCGAAUGAUUAGAGGCCUUAGGGUCGAAACGAUCUUAACCUAUUCUCAAACUUUAAAUGGGUAAGAACCUUAACUUUCUUGAUAUGAAGUUCAAGGUUAUGAUAUAAUGUGCCCAGUGGGCCACUUUUGGUAAGCAGAACUGGCGCUGUGGGAUGAACCAAACGUAAUGUUACGGUGCCCAAAUUAACAACUCAUGCAGAUACCAUGAAAGGCGUUGGUUGCUUAAAACAGCAGGACGGUGAUCAUGGAAGUCGAAAUCCGCUAAGGAGUGUGUAACAACUCACCUGCCGAAGCAACUAGCCCUUAAAAUGGAUGGCGCUUAAGUUGUAUACCUAUACAUUACCGCUAAAGUAGAUGAUUUAUAUUACUUGUGAUAUAAAUUUUGAAACUUUAGUGAGUAGGAAGGUACAAUGGUAUGCGUAGAAGUGUUUGGCGUAAGCCUGCAUGGAGCUGCCAUUGGUACAGAUCUUGGUGGUAGUAGCAAAUAAUCGAAUGAGACCUUGGAGGACUGAAGUGGAGAAGGGUUUCGUGUGAACAGUGGUUGAUCACGAGUUAGUCGGUCCUAAGUUCAAGGCGAAAGCCGAAAAUUUUCAAGUAAAACAAAAAUGCCUAACUAUAUAAACAAAGCGAAUUAUAAUACACUUGAAUAAUUUUGAACGAAAGGGAAUACGGUUCCAAUUCCGUAACCUGUUGAGUAUCCGUUUGUUAUUAAAUAUGGGCCUCGUGCUCAUCCUGGCAACAGGAACGACCAUAAAGAAGCCGUCGAGAGAUAUCGGAAGAGUUUUCUUUUCUGUUUUAUAGCCGUACUACCAUGGAAGUCUUUCGCAGAGAGAUAUGGUAGAUGGGCUAGAAGAGCAUGACAUAUACUGUUGUGUCGAUAUUUUCUCCUCGGACCUUGAAAAUUUAUGGUGGGGACACGCAAACUUCUCAACAGGCCGUACCAAUAUCCGCAGCUGGUCUCCAAGGUGAAGAGUCUCUAGUCGAUAGAAUAAUGUAGGUAAGGGAAGUCGGCAAAUUAGAUCCGUAACUUCGGGAUAAGGAUUGGCUCUGAAGAUUGAGAUAGUCGGGCUUGAUUGGGAAACAAUAACAUGGUUUAUGUGCUCGUUCUGGGUAAAUAGAGUUUCUAGCAUUUAUGUUAGUUACUUGUUCCCCGGAUAGUUUAGUUACGUAGCCAAUUGUGGAACUUUCUUGCUAAAAUUUUUAAGAAUACUAUUUGGGUUAAACCAAUUAGUUCUUAUUAAUUAUAACGAUUAUCAAUUAACAAUCAAUUCAGAACUGGCACGGACUUGGGGAAUCCGACUGUCUAAUUAAAACAAAGCAUUGUGAUGGCCCUAGCGGGUGUUGACACAAUGUGAUUUCUGCCCAGUGCUCUGAAUGUCAAAGUGAAGAAAUUCAAGUAAGCGCGGGUCAACGGCGGGAGUAACUAUGACUCUCUUAAGGUAGCCAAAUGCCUCGUCAUCUAAUUAGUGACGCGCAUGAAUGGAUUAACGAGAUUCCUACUGUC
rnacentral:rRNA from 1 species